rnacentral:rRNA from 1 species
AGCGAACGCUGGCGGCAUGCCUAACACAUGCAAGUCGAACGAGACCUUCGGGUCUAGUGGCGCACGGGUGCGUAACGCGUGGGAACCUGCCCUUAGGUUCGGAAUAACUCCCCGAAAGGGGUGCUAAUACCGGAUAAUGUCUUCGGACCAAAGAUUUAUCGCCUUUGGAUGGGCCCGCGUUGGAUUAGCUAGUUGGUAGGGUAAAAGCCUACCAAGGUGACGAUCCAUAGCUGGUCUGAGAGGAUGAUCAGCCACACUGGGACUGAGACACGGCCCAGACUCCUACGGGAGGCAGCAGUGGGGAAUAUUGGACAAUGGGCGAAAGCCUGAUCCAGCAAUGCCGCGUGAGUGAUGAAGGCCUUAGGGUUGUAAAGCUCUUUUACCCGGGAUGAUAAUGACAGUACCGGGAGAAUAAGCUCCGGCUAACUCCGUG